GAUGAACGCUGGCGGCGUGCCUAAUACAUGCAAGUCGAACGAAGAUCUAGCUUGCUAGAUCUUAGUGGCGAACGGGUGAGUAAUACAUAAAUAAUCUGCCCAUAUGACUGGGAUAACUAUUGGAAACGAUAGCUAAUACCGGAUAGGUUGAUCGGAGGCAUCUCUGAUGAAUUAAAGUAGGAUUUCUACACAAAUGGAUGAGUUAUGGCGCAUUAGUUAGUUGGUGGGGUAACGGCCUACCAAGACGAUGAUGCGUAGCCGACCUGAGAGGGUGACCGGCCACACUGGGACUGAGACACGGCCCAGACUCCUACGGGAGGCAGCAGUAGGGAAUUUUCGGCAAUGGGCGCAAGCCUGACCGAGCAACGCCGCGUGAGUGAUUAAGGCCUUCGGGUUGUAAAGCUCUGUUGUAAGGGAAGAACAUUCAGGAUAGGAAAUGAUCUUGAACUGACGGUACCUUACCAGAAAGCCACGGCUAACUACGUGCCAGCCGCCGCAGUAA
rnacentral:rRNA from 1 species